rnacentral:rRNA from 1 species
CAAUAGCGUAUAUUAAAGUUGUUGCGGUUAAAAAGCUCGUAGUUGGAGUUCUGCCAGGUGCCGCCUGUCCGCCCCAGUGGUGAGUACGUGGCGCGCAUUUGGCCCUUUCAAGGGGAGCGUAUCUGCACUUUAUUGUGUGGUGCGGGAUCCUUGACUUUUACUUUGAGGAAAUAGGAGUGUUCCAAGCAGGCUCUCGUCGUGCACAGCUCAGCAUGGAAUAAUAGCAUUGGACCUCGAUUCUAAGCUGUUGGUUGCCAGAAGCGAGGUAAUGAUGAAGAGGGAUAGUUGGGGGCAUUCGUAUUUCGUCGCUAGAGGUGAAAUUCUUAGAUUGACGAAAGACAAACUGCUGCGAAAGCGUCUGCCAAGGAUGUUUUCAUUGA